AACGAACGCCGGCGGCGUCCCUAACACAUGCAAGUCGAACGGAAAUGAGGGGCCUGCUCUUUCAAUUUAGUGGCGCACGGGUGAGUAACGCGUGGAUAAUCUGCCUGACGAUCUGGGAUAACACUUCGAAAGAGGUGCUAAUACCGGAUAAGCCCACGGGGUCUUACGACUCUGCGGGAAAAGGGGGGGACCUUUGGCCUUCUGUCGUCAGAUGAGUCUGCGUACCAUUAGCUAGUUGGUAGGGUAAAGGCCUACCAAGGCGACGAUGGUUAGCUGGUCUGAGAGGAUGAUCAGCCACACCGGAACUGAGACGCGGUCCAGACUCCUACGGGAGGCAGCAGUGGGGAAUUUUGCGCAAUGGGCGAAAGCUUGACGCAGCAACGCCGCGUGAGUGAUGAAGGCUUUCGGGUCGUAAAGCUCUGUCAAGGGGAAAGAAGUGUACGAGGGCUAAUAUCCUUUGUACUUGACGGUACCCCUAAAGGAAGCACCGGCUAACAAUACCG
rnacentral:rRNA from 1 species